UGAAGCUCAACAGAAGAUGGGUGUUGCAACAGGACAAUGACCCAAAGCAUAGAAGUAAAUCAACAACAGAAUGGCUUAAAAAGAAGAAAAUACGCCUUCUGAAGUGACCCAGUCAGAGUCCUGACCUCAACCCGAUUGAGAUGCUGUGACGUAACCUCAAGAAAGCGAUUCACACCAGACAUCCCAAGAAUAUUGCAAAACUGAAACAGUUCUGUAAAGAGGAAUGGUCAAGAAUUACUCCUGACCAUUGUGCACGUCUGAUCUGCAACUACAAGAAAUGUUUGGUUGAAGAUAUUGCUGCCAAAGGAGGUUCAACCAGUUAUUAAAUCCAAG
rnacentral:lncRNA from 1 species